UUUGUAUAAUGGGUCAGCGACUUAUAUUCUGUAGCAAGGUUAACCGUAUAGGGGAGCCGGAGGGAAACCGAGUCUUAACCGGGCGUUAAGUUGCAGGGUAUAGACCCGAAACCCGGUGAUCUAGCCAUGGGCAGGUUGAAGGUUGGGUAACACUAACUGGAGGACCGAACCGACUAAUGUUGAAAAAUUAGCGGAUGACCUGUGGCUGGGGGUGAAAGGCCAAUCAAACCGGGAGAUAGCUGGUUCUCCCCGAAAGCUAUUUAGGUAGCGCCUCGUGAAUUCAUCUCCGGGGGUAGAGCACUGUUUCGGCUAGGGGGCCAUCCCGGCUUACCAACCCGAUGCAAACUGCGAAUACCGGAGAAUGUUAUCACGGGAGACACACGGCGGGUGCUAACGUCCGUCGUGAAGAGGGAAACAACCCAGACCGCCAGCUAAGGUCCCAAAGUCAUGGUUAAGUGGGAAACGAUGUGGGAAGGCCCAGACAGCCAGGAUGUUGGCUUAGAAGCAGCCAUCAUUUAAAGAAAGCGUAAUAGCUCACUGGUCGAGUCGGCCUGCGCGGAAGAUGUAACGGGGCUAAACCAUGCACCGAAGCUGCGGCAGCGAACGUAUCACCCAAGACAACUUUACGGAGUUGACGAUUGACGGAGCGAAGCGACGUCAAAGCGUUCAUUAAAGUCGAGUUGGCUUAGGGAUACGUUCGUUGGGUAGGGGAGCGUUCUGUAAGCCUGUGAAGGUGUGUCGUGAGGCAUGCUGGAGGUAUCAGAAGUGCGAAUGCUGACAUAAGUAACGAUAAAGCGGGUGAAAAGCCCGCUCGCCGGAAGACCAAGGGUUCCUGUCCAACGUUAAUCGGGGCAGGGUGAGUCGACCCCUAAGGCGAGGCCGAAAGGCGUAGUCGAUGGGAAACGGGUUAAUAUUCCCGUACUUGGUGUUACUGCGAAGGGGGGACGGAGAAGGCUAUGUUGGCCGGGCGACGGUUGUCCCGGUUUAAGCGUGUAGGUGUGUGUUCCAGGUAAAUCCGGUU
rnacentral:rRNA from 1 species